AUUGAACGCUGGCGGCAUGCUUUACACAUGCAAGUCGAACGGCAGCGCGGGCUUCGGCCUGGCGGCGAGUGGCGAACGGGUGAGUAAUGCAUCGGAACGUGCCCAGUAGUGGGGGAUAGCCCGGCGAAACCCGGAUUAAUACCGCAUACGACCUGAGGGUGAAAGCGGGGGACCGAAAGGCCUCGCGCUAUUGGAGCGGCCGAUGUCGGAUUAGCUAGUUGGUGGGGUAAAGGCUUACCAAGGCGACGAUCCGUAGCUGGUCUGAGAGGACGACCAGCCACACUGGGACUGAGACACGGCCCAGACUCCUACGGGAGGCAGCAGUGGGGAAUUUUGGACAAUGGGCGAAAGCCUGACCCAGCCAUGCCGCGUGCGGGAAGAAGGCCUUCGGGUUGUAAACCGCUUUUGUUCGGGAAGAAAACAUGUGGGAUAAUCCCUCGGGGGGAUGACGGUACCGGAAGAGAAAGCAACGGCUAACUACGUG
rnacentral:rRNA from 1 species